GACGAACGCUGGCGGCGUGCUUAACACAUGCAAGUCGAACGGAAGGCCCUGGUUUUGGGGGGUGCUCGGGUGGCGAACGGGGGAGUAACACGUGGGUAACCUGCCCUUUACUUUGGGGUAACUUCCGGAAACUUGGGCUAAUACCGGAUAAGAGCUCCUGCUGCCUUGUGGGGGUUGGGAAGGUUCGGCGGUUGGGGAUGGGCUCGCGGCUUAUCAGGUUGUUGGUGGGGUAGUGGCUUACCAAGGCUUUGACGGGUAGCCGGCCUGAGAGGGUGACCGGCCACAUUGGGACUGAGAUACGGCCCAGACUCCUACGGGAGGCAGCAGUGGGGAAUAUUGCACAAUGGGCGGAAGCCUGAUGCAGCAACGCCGCGUGCGGGAUGACGGCCUUCGGGUUGUAAACCGCUUUCGCCUGUGACGAAGCGUGAGUGACGGUAAUGGGUAAAGAAGCACCGGCUAACUACGUG
rnacentral:rRNA from 1 species